rnacentral:rRNA from 1 species
CUUGGUCAUUUAGAGGAAGUAAAAGUCGUAACAAGGUUUCCGUAGGUGAACCUGCGGAAGGAUCAUUAUUGAAUAAAUGUUGAUAGGCUGUUGCUGGCUCUUCCUGGGGGCAUGUGCACGCUUGUCAUCUUUAUUUUUCCACCUGUGCACUUUUUGUAGGACCCUAGAGAAAAGUAAUUUUCUGAGAAAAUCAGAAGGGUUGAGGAUUGCUGUGUCUCUUUUCAAUGAGCGCCCCAGCUUUGCCUUGAGUAUCUAGGUUCUAUGUCAUUCACAUACUCCUAUGAAUGUAACAGAAUGUUGAUCAUUGGGUCUUUUAGCACCUAUAAAAAGUUAUAUACAACUUUCAGCAACGGAUCUCUUGGCUCUCGCAUCGAUGAAGAACGCAGCGAAAUGCGAUAAGUAAUGUGAAUUGCAGAAUUCAGUGAAUCAUCGAAUCUUUGAACGCAUCUUGCGCUCCUUGGUAUUCCAAGGAGCAUGCCUGUUUGAGUGUCAUUAAAUUCUCAACUACACUGAUUUUUGUUGGUGUAGAUUGGAUUUGGGGGGGAUUUUUUUGCGGGCUUUAUUUUGUAAAAUGAAGUUGGCUCCCCUGAAAUUGAUUAGCGGUACCUUUGUAGAACCGUCUACAGGUGUGAUAAUUUAUCUAUGCCUUGAGAUGUCUGCACACAAAGAGGUUAUGCUGCUUUCCAACCACAUUUGUUGACAAUCUUGACCUCAAAUCAGGUAGGAUUACCCGCUGAACUUAAGCAUAUCAAUAAGCGGAGGA